UCUCUUGCAUGUAAUGUGAGACACAUGGGCACACCUUGUACCUUGUCUCUCUGAGAUGAUGAUGGCGUUCUCUCUCUGCCACACCUCUUCUUUCUUCAUCGUUCACCGCUUCCCACAACAAACUUUGAUAAGAACAAGACGAAUUCAUUUCCAAUUGAUUCGUGCAGUGCAAUCAGGGGAAUCAGAAACUGAAAAGUCUGCACAGAAAAAGACUGAAGAAUCACCAUCUUCAACUGCUGCUGCUUCUCCUCCUCCUAGACCAAAGAAACCCGUCUAUUCUAUGAAGAAGGGCCAGAUUGUGAGAGUGGACAAAGAAAAAUAUCUCAACAGCAUCAAUUAUCUUUCUGUUGGGCAUCCGCCAUACUACAAAGGAUUGGAUUACAUCUAUGAAGACCGUGGGGAGGUCCUGGAUAUGCGUAUAUUUGAAACAGGGGAGUAUGCACUUGUAAGUGAUCCUAUAUCAAACUCAUUCUUACCCUUGUUAGUUUGUUUACAUGAAAUACAGAAGAAAGAAAAGAAUAGAGAAAUUGCAAUACACAACGGAACUGAUGAGAACUCCUAGUUAAAAUUGACAGAUUGCAUGGGUAGGAAUCCCCACUGCCCCGGCUUGGCUUCCAACAGACAUGCUUAUCAAGUCAGAGAAGCUCAAUUAUGAGAGGCUAUGAUCUGCAGUUUGGUACAGAUAUAUGCUAAAUAUUUAGAUCAGUAAAAUUUCAUUUUCCGGUGUUGUAAGAAAGUAUGAUUAAAGAUUCAACAUUUCAAAAGAUCCAGAAGUUUUUGGAGAUCACCAUCGCUGAUUCAUUGUAUAUGUGCCUCGUUAUAAUUAAUAAAUAAAGGUUAUAGACUUAUAGUAUA